GAAAAUUAACUUUGUUAAUUUGAAACACUUUUCUUGUUUACUUAUUUAACUCUUUAAAGUUUGCAUUUCUGUUUUAUACUUCUUUUAAUCUAUGUUAUGUGGUGUUGACAUUUCGCUUGACUGAUGAUUUUUUUAACUGUUAAAUUUUGUAUAUCCAAUUUAAAAAAUGAAGUCAACCUAAUUAUACCACUUUUGUAACUAUCUGACAUAUUUUUUUCUGGUUUCUAUGUACUAAUGUAGUGAGCUUUUUUUAUGUAUAUAUAUUUUUUCAGAAUACUAUUGUGGAGGCUUCUAUUCAGCUUCCUCCUUCCCUUUUCUCACCAAAGCAAAAAAGAGAACUCAGACCAACUGAUGACUCUCUUUACAAGCUUCAACUCAUUGCAUUCCGCAAUGGAAAGCUUUUUCCAGCCACUGGAAAUUCAACAAAUUUGGCUGAUGAUGGAAAACGACGUACUGUGGUUACCCCUGUGAUUCUCACCAAAAUAGAUGGUGUGAAUGUAGAUACCCACCACAUCCCUGUUAAUGUGACACUGCGUCGAAUUGCACAUGGAGCAGAUGCUGUUGCAGCCCGGUGGGAUUUCGAUUUGCUGAACGGACAAGGAGGCUGGAAGUCAGAUGGGUGCCAUAUACUCUAUUCAGAUGAAAAUAUCACUACGAUUCAGUGCUACUCC
rnacentral:lncRNA from 1 species